CAGUAGCCACGGGAAUACGGAGGGUGCAAGCGUUAAUCGGAAUUACUGGGCGUAAAGCGUGCGUAGGCGGUUCGUUAAGUCUGUUGUGAAAGCCCCGGGCUCAACCUGGGAAUGGCAAUGGAUACUGGCGAGCUAGAGUGUGUCAGAGGAUGGUGGAAUUCCCGGUGUAGCGGUGAAAUGCGUAGAGAUCGGGAGGAACAUCAGUGGCGAAGGCGGCCAUCUGGGACAACACUGACGCUGAGGCACGAAAGCGUGGGGAACAAACAGGAUUAGAUACCCCGGUAGUCCCUGUCUCUUAUAA
rnacentral:rRNA from 1 species